rnacentral:lncRNA from 1 species
UUGGAAAGAAUGACAGAAUUUAAUUUUAAGAACAAUUAGAAGCAGGGAUACCUCUGCAAAAUGUCACGUUAGUUUUGGACAGUACGUCAGGUUUACAGUUGUCAGUAACAUAAAUGUUUUAAAAUUAAGGAAGGAAAAAGUAAAGGUCAUGGGGAAUCUCAUCUAGAGUGAAGUCUCUACACAUUAAUAAAAUAUUUAUGUAUUCUCAUUUAACAUAUAGCUUAAGGACAACUCAGUGGAAGUAAUUCUUUAUUCUUGUGUCUGAAUAUGAGUGACGGCAGUUUUUCUAAAAUGUCAGAUUAAAAACUCAUUGCUGCAUUUUGAAAUUCAAAUGAUCAUUAGCAACUCCAUUCUAUUCUUAGCAAUUGUGGAUCAUUCUGAUGAAAUAUACUGCUCUGAUGCAAAAAAAGAAAAUUAAAUAAAAAGAAUGUCACAGUUUGGAACAGGUUAAAAUUACAAGCUACAGAACACACAAAAAUCCUCAGGAGAAAUAUCUAGUGAAAUAAGAUGGAUAUUUAUGGCUUUGCUCAAACAAAAUUGCUUAGGUUAGUAUUACAAAUGUACAGGCAAAAACCAGUUGGAAUUUCCUGUGUUUCACCCAUAUCCCUCUUAAUCAACUCAUUAUCUUGUCUUUCAAACAGGAGAUCCUCCCUAGGCCAGCUGUAUACAGCCAAAUCUAUCUGGUUAUGCUUUAGAAAAGUAAAAUCUCUAGAGAAAGGGCUGUGUUCAAGCAGAUGUACUGUAUUAGUAAUCUGAGCUCUCAGCAUCAUUGUGCACUGGUUACACAUAGCUAGGCAACCUUAAAAUACACAAAAAAACAACGGAAAGUGACACCAAUAGUGGGCUAAAACUAGCCUGUGUUGCUUUUAUGAUGAAACCUGCUGGACAGCCUUUACUUUCUUUCUCUUGAUACUUUUAAAAAACAAAACAAAAGCAAAAACUACCAAAAUUGAUCAGUUGUUAGACAGCACCCCCUGGUGUAGCAACACACGAAAACCUUACAAACUUUAUAAAAAUACCUUUAUUUGUGAUGGGGUGCAGCUAACCAACAGGUAUUACCAUAUAGAUUACCCGAGAUGUGGAUUAACUUGCUGGGUCUUUCCUCAACACUCCAGCUGCAGCUCUGUGCCAAAAAGCACAUGAUGCAGAGCAAAUGCCUUUCACAUGAGGCUUCACGCUUCUGAGAGCUGUGUUCAGCUGUCUCUACAGAAACCCUUUACAAAUCUGUUUAAAGGUCACUAUAAAAAUUAUGUUCCCCCAUAUCCUGAUUUAUUUUUGUUUUAUACUACCUAUCUUCAUGUUUUUCUUGGCAUGACCCCUUCCUCUCCAACUGAGAGUUGCCUACAUGAUGCCUGACAUCAGAUGAACAUUCCUGCUUCUCGUGUUAUCAUCUAAACAGGACACAAAUACAAAUCCUCAUUGGACUCUGAAUAAAGAAAUCUGGCCCUGACUCACAGCAACUCUACAUCAGCAGCAGGGGCAUAGGAGAAACCUGCUAUGCCCGUACUGCUUCAUGCAGUGACUUCCCAGAAUUUUUAAUGGAAAAGCAGCAAAAUUUCCUCACUCUGUUUACUCCUACUGGGAAUUUAUUCCUGUUCUUAUCAAAUCUUCUGAAAUCAGAGUUGUGGAAUAACACUACCUUUCCCAAGCACAAUGUAUGCAAUACUUACUGCUGUGCAGAAAAUGGCUUAAUCACCUCCUUGUACAAAGUUUUGAGCAGUACAGCAUAGCCACAGCUACACUAGCUUUUACUAAGUUUUGCUGCAAUAGAAAAGCUGUAAGUGGAUCCUAAAGUAGGAUAGUUUGUGUAAGAUAUUCUUCUUUAUAUCCAGAACAGUUCUCUAGUAUCUAGGAAAUGUUUUGCACCCC